AGAAUCAACGCUGGCGGCGUGCCUCAGACAUGCAAGUCGAACGCGAAAGUCCCCUUCGGGGGGCAAGUAGAGUGGCGCACGGGUGAGUAACACGUAGGUAAUCUACCUUUGGAUGGGGAAUAACAACCGGAAACGGUUGCUAAUACUGCAUAAUGCAGCGGCACCUAAUGGUGACAGUUGUUAAAGCGGGGGAUCGAAAGACCUCGCGUCUAAAGAGGAGCCUGCGGCGGAUUAGCUAGUUGGUAAGGUAAUGGCUUACCAAGGCUACGAUCC
rnacentral:rRNA from 1 species